ensembl:lncRNA
AAUGCAUGAAAUGUAUGGCAAUCACGUGACGUGGUACAGGGCGUGGAUGUUCCCUUUGUGUGGAGAACGAAAGUUAACUGCACUUCUUGGUGUAGGAUUCUACGGCAAACAACUGAAGUUUAAUAUUAGAGGCGUAAUAUUACAAAUUUAAUAUUAAACUUCAGUUGUUUGCUAGGACUGGCGCUGGGGAGUACACAAAGCUGGAUGUGUACAUAAUGAAAAGAGAGAAAAAAUGCUGCCCUUCCUGAUUCUUCUGUUUCUAAACCCACUGAUUUCUGCCGCACAAGCGACACCUGCUGGCGUAUUGGAAAUCGCCCCAUUUUGAUGACGCUUUUCUGUGAGAUGACGCAGACAAGCCCUGCACAACUCCAAACAAACUUAUUAUUAUCAAACUGUCAAUAACUGUGAUGUGUUUUUUGUUGACUUGUAAGCUUCCUAGACCAGUUUGCGCCAUCUGGUUUUUUUUCUAGACACUGGCAAGCAAAGCUAGAAGCCGCCAUAGCCUCAGUUAUAAUUAGUUGUUAAUUAUAAUUUAUCUCUUUAAAUGAAAAGAUUUAAGGUGUUUCAGUUCAGUUUUAUUUAUUUAGCAUCAAAUCCCAUCAGCAGUUGUUUGAAGGUUCUCUAUAUUGUAAGGUAAAGACCCUACAAUAAUAGAUACCAAGGUAUUAAUACAGUAUAGCCAAUCAUAAUAUUGUUGUACUUUGGCUGCUUCAUUUUUUUUCCUCACUCCUAUCAAAUAUGUGGAUCAAAAGGAUACAAAGGACCAAACUCAGUGGCUGUGGAGAUUCAUAUCAAAGGGAACAGUCAAAAGAAGGAGAAGUGUUUGUGUGUGUUUUUAUGGUUUUGUCUAAAACUAUAGUACAGAAGACAUUGAUAUGAUUUUCAUGAUUUUAAUGUUCAGGUUAAAGUCAUUUAAGGUCAAGGUCUGGGAACACACAUCAGUGCAGGUCCUCACAGAGAAAGAGAAUCGAUUCUGUGUAAGUGGUGUAAUGAUUUAUCCACCACACAUCAGAUGACGCCAAGUAUGUCUGUUGUUUUAUCUCUUGCCCAGUUCAUCAGAGCUUUGCAGUUCCUCUUUAAAGUUAUUUGUUCUUAUUGGCUGCUAUAGAAGUAAAGAGCUAUACUCUGACCCCUUUAACCUCUCUGAUCUUUGUUGUUUCCUCUUUCAGACCCAAAACCCAUCACAGCUAAGCCUGGAGACAACGUCAUUCUGCCAUGUCAAGCUCCAAACAGCAACAACCUCGCAGGUGUGGAGUGGAGCAGACGUGACCUGGAGCCAGAAUAUGUUCUUUUGCUCCGAGAUGGGCACAUUGUUCCAGAAGACCAGCAACCAUCUUUUAAAGACCGGGUGGAACUCCAGGACCAACAGAUGAAAAAUGGAAACGUGUCUUUGAUUCUGGAGAAAGUGACAGCUGCAGAUGAUGGAACAUACGAGUGCCGUAUCCUCACGCAUGGGGGAGAACGGAGAAAGAGAGCUGUGGAAACCAUCAGCGUCAUCAACCUUCAUGUUGUUCCUGCAGGUGAGUGAGUAGAGUUGAGUGUGAGUGUGAUCAGAGGUGAAGCUGCUUCCUGGUUGUUGAUGUUUGUUUCUAAAGAUGUUGUUGAUGAGACUUUGUAGAAAGCAGCUGGUCUGAGUGAUGUGAUCAGAGUGCAGUAGAUAAUGUCUGACAGCAGUUUGAAGAGGAAAUGGAUUCUGUUCUGUUCUUCACUCAUCACCUACCUGACAGCUGACACCUCACACCUGUUUCUCACCUGCAGGUCAGACAGGAGAAGCCACAGAGGAUGGAGGAGGGAAGAUUGGAUCUGUUGAACCUGCAGCUAUUCUUUCAGUUUCUGCUCUGCUCCUUCUUCUUCUUGCUUCUGUUGUUGGCUUUGUGAUCUACAGAAAACGUAAACCACAACAGAGUCAGAAAUCAUACCAGCCUCCAGCUGAACAAUCGCCUGUCUGAAAAUUUUCAGAGCUUUUUUCAGCUUUACUUUAAAUUUCCUGCUGCUGUUCCAAGUUCUCCCUUCUGACAUUCAGCAUGUGGAAAUAUAAUAUAGGUCCGAAUCUGGGCCCUGUACUAUGAAGCAAGUCCAACAUACCCAGAGUAUCUUUCCUGACAUUGGUGGUCAUAAGAAGCUUGUCAUCUAGUUGCUUGGUUAACACAGAGUUUUCCAAUCUAGGUAUGAGUGAAUAAAAGAGGUGGCACUGGCAGCAUCUGGCCAUUCAUGUUGAGAAUUGUACUGGCAGAUAAGUGGCUGAUUUUGCAAUGAAAGAGUAAAUUGGAAAAAUGUGAAAAAGGUUAGAAAUAAUAUUAAAUAAAAGCAACACAGCUGCUGCAGAUCAAUCAGCACAGUGGGAGUUAAAGUAGAGCAGAGUAGUUCAUUCUUAAACGCGCUCUAAUGUGUGAGCCUUAAAUGUUUUGAAGAAUCUGAUGUAAUACAUUCUUGUAUUCUACAAAGUUAAUGUUCAGAUUAGCAAAAAACAGUUUUAUUUUUUACUUGUCAGCUGCAGCCCUGAUUGUGUAAAUAAGUAAAUAAUAAAUGCAAUAACAGGAUUCCAAUGUACCUGCUGUCCACCUGGAACUGAUAUAAAAUUCAAAAAUUCAAAUUCAAAUUUUAUUUGUCACAUACACAGUCAUACACAGUACGAUAUGCAGUGAAAUGCCUUAUACAACUGCUCGUGACCUAAAGAAAAAAAAGAAAGAAAAGGCUAUGAAUAAAAUAGGAAAUAAAUAUGAAAAUUAAAAGGGUGAAUUUAACUAGGAAGGAAUAAAAUAGAAUAUAUAUGAAUUAGAGUUGAAAAUAAAGUAACUGUACAACAAAAUGAACAGUAUGGAAAUAAUAAGAAUGUAUGAGGAAAUAUAAUAUAAAUAUAUAUGCAAUAUACAAUAGCAGCAGCUGUACAAAUAUUAAAUGGAAAUGAAGACAUAUAAGAAAUAUAAUGUCCAGUGUUGUGCAAACCACAAUGCACAUAUAAAGUCUUAUAAUAUAAUAAUGAUAUAAUAUAAUAUAAUAUAAAGACUUCGGACAACUACUACUAUCCACGCACUGGUCUGAAUGAUCUUCCAGGAAUGGUGAUGCUGUUUGUCACAGACUUAGUUUGCCAGUAGGAAGUGAUCUCACACCUCAUUUCAUACCUACAGAUCUCUAUGACCCAACCUGUUCAAUAGCAGGUUAGGUCAUAGAUUAACAAGGAACCCCAGGAAAAAGUGAACCACCUUCAUAGUACAGAAAACCCAGGUUGAACCCUGAAGUUACCUGGGUAAGACAAAAUUCUCCUAACAGGCCUUUCAUCUUCAGUUGCUUCGUAAUAAACGUCCAUCAUCUGAGGAAUAAUUGCCUCAUCAUCCUCACCUCAAAACAGAGAGCAAAGAGAAAAUGAAAUCACUUAUUCUAAAUGCUAAACCUUUUAUUGCUAAUCUAGCAAUAAAAUGUCUGUUAAGGGCAAAUAAAUAUGAAACAACAAGAAAAAAUGCAAGAAUAAAAAAUAACAAAAACUAAAACUUCCACAGUUUUAUAUAGAUUGAAUGCAUUCUGUCUCUGUCUGUCACAACAUGAACUAAAGAUUUGCUGUUGUGGUGUUUUGAUUGAGGGUCUGUCUGGUAAUGAUGUAUGUGAGUAGAUUAGUGACUGUGAGCCAAUUAUGAAAUGAUUCUCUGUUUAAUAUUAAUGUCUUGUUUGAAACUUCAAGUCUCCUCAUAAGCUACAGUUAAACAUAGCAUGUAUUUUACAAACAUAGUAUGUAUUUUACUGUUUCUUGCAUUUUUAUUUAGCAUCAGUUUUUUAAACAAAAUCCUGGUUGGGAGAUAUUACUUGUAUGAUUACCUGCUGAAGCUUUAAUGUGUGUUUUGAAAGACUAGUGUGAAAUGUAAAUAAAGGGAAAACUAUCAGUUUAUAUUGUUUUUGUUUUUCUGUUGUUUUGUGCUCAGGUUCUUUCCUUUAGUGGUGAAUAUGAAAACAACAACAACAACUGGCUAUUAUAAUCUUCAUGCAGGUCUAAUCUCACUGGGGACCACCUGAUCUCAGCUCCUACAGAGAGAGAAGCUACAGCACUAAAGAUUUAAAAGUCAAUCAUUUUUCCCUCAAGACACAUUUGAGUCUAAAGCUUCUCUUUAUACCUGAUAUAAAAGCUGCUUAUCAGUUAUUCAUUGAACAAAGUUCUCUCUGUAGAACACACACUGAUUAUACUCAAUAAAAGCUGGUAAUAAACUUUUAUUGAGUAUAAAAGUUUAUUACUUUUAUACUCAAUAAGUGCAGUUUAUACAAUAACUACAGUUAUAAACUACAGUUUAUAACUUUAGUUUAUAACUACAGUUUAUAAUUGUAGUUAUUGUAGUUAGCUUUCAAUAACUACAGUAUGUACCAAAAAUACUUUGGACUAAACUUAAAUUCAGCCAAAGCUCCUCAUGAGUUUGUGACUGUAACUAGAAGCAAAACAGUUCAUGUUAUUGUCUGAAGGUCAGCUUCAGCUCUGCCACCGUUUCUCAGCUUGAGGCAGGAAGAAGGUUUCAGUUCUUCUUCUCUGAGUCUAAAGUGCAAACUAAGCCUGAUGUGUAAACACACUGCUGAUCUUUGAUUCAGCUGCUUCAGGUUAAUGAGUGUUUCAGUCAGACUGCAGUAAACUCGUCACUCUGUACACUCUGAUUAAGGGCACGGGCUAUAUUAAAACUUUGAUGUUUUUAAUACAUACUCAAAUAAGAC